UCACUCUGUAACUGAGACUGACCUG
rnacentral:piRNA from 1 species